UACGAGUGCCCCAAGCGCUAUCCGGAAUUAUUGGGCGUAAAGGGUGUGUAGGUGGUCUUGUUAGUCUUCUGUGAAAUUCUUCGGCUUAACCGGGGGUCCGCAGGGGAAACGGCAGGACUAGAGGAUGCGAGAGGUGUGCGGAACUCAUGGUGUAGGGGUGAAAUCCGUUGAUAUCAUGGGGAACACCGAAAGCGAAGGCAGCACACUGGCGCACUCCUGACACUGAAACACGAAAGCGUGGGUAGCGAAUGGG
rnacentral:rRNA from 1 species